CCAGCACCCCGAGUUGUCGGGACGAUUAUUGGGCCUAAAGCAUCCGUAGCCUGUUCUGCAAGUCCUCCGUUAAAUCCACCUGCUUAACGGAUGGGCUGCGGGGGAUACUGCAGAGCUAGGAGGCGGGAGAGGCAAACGGUACUCAGUGGGUGGGGGUAAAAUCCAUUGAUCUACUGAAGACCACCAGUGGCGAAGGCGGUUUGCCAGAACGCGCUCGACGGUGAGGGAUGAAAGCUGGGGGAGCAAACCGGAUUAGAUACCCGGGUAGUCCCAGCUGUAAACGAUGCAGACUCGGUGAUGGGUUGGCUUUGAGCCAACCCAGUGCCGCAGGGAAGCCGUUAAGUCUGCCGCCUGGGGAGUACGGUCGCAAGACUG
rnacentral:rRNA from 1 species